rnacentral:rRNA from 1 species
UAAGGAAUAUUGGACAAUGGUCGGAAGACUGAUCCAGCCAUGCCGCGUGCAGGAAGAAGGCCCUCUGGGUUGUAAACUGCUUUUGGACGGGAAUAAACCACCUGAUGCGUCAGGUGCUGAAGGUACCGUCAGAAUAAGCACCGGCUAACUCCGUGCCAGCAGCCGCGGUAAUACGGAGGGUGCGAGCGUUAUCCGGAAUUACUGGGUUUAAAGGGUGCGUAGGCGGCUCGGUAAGUCAGUUGUGAAAUUCCCUCGCUUAACGAGUGGUGUUGCGAUUGAUACUGUCGAGCUUGAAUCAGGAUGAGGCAGGCGGAAUGUGGCAUGUAGCGGUGAAAUGCAUAGAUAUGCCAUAGAACACCGAUUGCGAAGGCAGCUUGCUGGGCCUGUAUUGACGCUGAGGCACGAAAGCGUGGGGAUCAAACAGGAUUAGAUACCCUGGUAGUCCACGCCCUAAACGAUGCUUACUUGCUGUUCGCGCGGUAGCGGGAGCGGCGGAGCGAAAGCGUUAAGUAAGCCACCUGGGAGA